rnacentral:rRNA from 1 species
CCUACGGGAGGCCGCAGUGAGGAAUAUUGGUCAAUGGACUCACGUCUGAACCAGCCAUGCCGCGUGCAGGAAGACGGCUCUAUGAGUUGUAAACUUCUUUUGUCCGAGGGUAAACGCAUCUCCGUGUCUCUGUCUGAAGAUAUCGUCCGACUAAGGCUCGGCUAACUCCGUGCCAGCCGCCGCCGUAAUAAGGAGGAUUCAAGCGUUAGCCGGAUUUCUUGGGGUUAAAGGGUGCGUAGGCGGUCGGAGAAGUUAGAGGGGAAAUCCCGAGGCUCAACGUCGGAAGUGCCUGUGAUACUGUUCGGCUAGAGAGUAGUGGCGGUAGGCGGAAUGUAUGGUGUAGCGGUGAAAUGCAUAGAGAUCAUACAGAACACCGAUUGCGAAGGCAGCUUACCAAGCUACUUCUGACGUUGAGGCACGAAAGCGUGGGGAGCAAACAGGAUUAGAUACCCCAGUAGUC